rnacentral:tRNA from 1 species
ACCUUAGUGGUGUAACGGUAGCAUACUCGGCUCGUAUUCGAGAGGUCCAAGUUCGAGUCUUGACGAAGGAA